rnacentral:lncRNA from 7 species
AGACUAGUUUUAUGAAGAUGCAAGCUCUUCAGUUGAAAUGUAGCACAGAAGGGAAAAUUAUUAAAUCCAAAUAAAGACCUAUCUCCCAAGGUCAAAUGAUUUAUCAAGCUAUAUGCAUGAGAGCUCCAAGACCUAAGAAGAGAUUAAGUACAACUCCUAAAACAGCUUUGAGAUGAGAGUUCCCUGUUAAACUGUCAAAACAGGUCUCCUUUCCUUCUGCACAGAACUCAACAUCUAUUUCUCCUGUGUCCUCCCUGAUCCACCUCCAUCUGAUCCCUACACUGACCUUCAACUCCUGGAAGAAGACACAAAGUCAGGUAUAUAUGCACACAGGAACAGAUGAGAGGACUGUCAUAUUUGAGGCCUCCACCAAAAAGCUAAGGCAGAUCGUUCCCCGAUGUACAGUGAUGGUGGUCCAGCCCACGCUUUUGAACAUUGUUUGAGGUGAGUUGGGAUUUUGACUACUUUAUUUCCUCAGUAGCAGAUUUCACACUACCACAUCCUCUCACUAAUGACCUGAUGUAUUGCUCAUUUUGAUUCAUGUAACUGCCAAAGAAUGUCCUCAAAAAUAACACUAUGUAUUUAGCUAUAUCACUGGAUAUUUAAUACCUUGCUUCUGAUUUAUUUUGGCUAUCUGCAAACCGGUGGAGUGAAUAAUGCUCUUGGACCUCUGACUAGACUUUUCAUCUCAACAAUGUCCCACUGACCUAUAAAGGAAAAACUGGGCUGAAAUCAUUCCAUGCUAUUACUUGCCCUAUGAGCUUCUAAGGAAAGACAUAUAAGACAGAAAAAAACAGUCACUCGCAACUGACUUUGACUUUUCUUCACAUAAUGCAGGAAAAUUCACCUGAAGAAUGAGUAAAAUCUUGGCUUCUCUUUCGCCUUAGUAAUGUCAAAAGACAUAUACCACAAAUGUUGUUUGAAAAGCAUU